rnacentral:rRNA from 1 species
UUUGAAGGAUGCACAGUGGGCCCCCCUGGUAAAUACCCCCAAUGUCAGGUCGAGGUGUAGCGUAUGGAAGGGGAAGUAAUGGGCUACAUUCGCUGCCUCAGCGUACCACGAAAGAUACAUUGAAAGAUGCAUCCGAAGGUGGAUCUAGUAGUAAGGAGAGAGUAGAGUGCUCUUCUGAAUAUGGCUCUUAAGCGUGCACACAUCGCCCGUCACUCUCCCCGACCUUAGUCUAAUAAACCCGUACUUAACAACACGGACGUUAUCAAGGGGAGGUAAGUCGUAACACAGUAAGUGUACCGGAAGGUGCACUUGGAAGAAC